ACUCAAAUGAAUUGACGGGGGCCCGCACAAGCGGUGGAGCAUGUGGUUCAAUUCGACGCAACGCGAAGAACCUUACCUGGGCUCGAACGGCUAUGGACCAUCCUUGGAAACAGGGAUUUCCCGCAAGGGACUGUAGUCGAGGUGCUGCAUGGCUGUCGUCAGCUCGUGUCGUGAGAUGUUGGGUUAAGUCCCGCAACGAGCGCAACCCUUGCCCUGUGUUGCCAUGCCGAAAGGCGGAACUCGCAGGGGACCGCCAGCGAUAAGCUGGAGGAAGGUGGGGAUGACGUCAAGUCAUCAUGGCCUUUAUGUCCAGGGCUACACACGUGCUACAAUGGCCGGUACAAACCGUUGCUAAAUCGCGAGAUGGAGCUAAUCGGAAAAAGCCGGUCUCAGUUCGGAUUGCAGGCUGCAACCCGCCUGCAUGAAGCUGGAAUCGCUAGUAAUGGCGCAUCAGCACGGCGCCGUGAAUACGUUCCCGGGCCUUGUACACACCGCCCGU
rnacentral:rRNA from 1 species